GCUGUGACGUUAUCACCCGGACAGAAUAUAAGGAUGGGUUGCUCGCAUGUUUAUCAGCAUUAAACAUACUGCAUUUCUGCUGUCAAGCUGAAUAGUCAACUAGUUUGCCUAAAAUGAACACACAGGCUAAAGUUCUUGUCUUGGUUCUGAUUGUGACUUUAGUUAGUCAAGGUUUGUCUCAGUCUAGAGUCCGCGAAACUUGCGGUGGACGAUUUUGCAGUGAUGACGAGGCCGACUGCUACUGGUCAUGUCGUCACGAAUGCUAUGGCGACGGCGCAUGCGCAAGAGAUGCAGAAUAUGGCAAAUAUGUUUGCGAUUGCUACGAUUAGUGUUCAUGCAUUCUUUGAGGCACCAUUCACCAGAGUAAAAGAUUGUACUGUUAAUUUUUGUGUGUAUAAAAAAAUAAACAUUUCUGUUUGAA